AUUGAACGCUGGCGGCAGGCCUAACACAUGCAAGUCGAGCGAGUGGCGGACGGGUGAGUAAUGUAUGGGGAACUGCCCGAUAGAGGGGGAUAACUACUGGAAACGGUAGCUAAUACCGCAUACCAUCGGAUGUACCCAUAUGGGAUUAGCUAGUAGGUGGGGUAAAGGCUCACCUAGGCGACGAUCCCUAGCUGGUCUGAGAGGAUGACCAGCCACAAUGGAACUGAGACACGGCCCAGACUCCGACGGGAGGCAGCAGUGGGGAAUAGUGCACAAUGGGCGCAAGCUUGAUGCAGCCAUGCCGCGUGUAUGAAGAAGGACUUAGGGUUGUAAAGUACUUUCAGCGGGGAGGCGUUACCCGCAGAAGAAGCACCGGCUAACUCCGUGCCAGCAGCCGCGGUAAUAC
rnacentral:rRNA from 1 species